AAAACUGUAAUACUCAGACAGACAAUUAAGCUGUAAAUGAAGUUUUCUUUAUGAUGCUUAAUUUUCUCUCCAAUUCUUAAAGUCCUUCUCCACUUUGCUGCUGUGGAAUGGAAGGGUUUUACAAGUCUGCAGGGGAGUCAGGGAGUAAAGAAAUCGUGCCCAGAUUUAGAGACAAUGGUGAAAGAUACAGAAGACAGAAGAGAUGGGGGCCGCCCCAGCUGGCAGGGAGUGGAGCCAGAGGCAGAAAAGGAGAGAAAAGUUUCCUGCCAUCUUCAUUAGUUGACUUCCCAGUCCACAGCCACAGCUUCCCGGGGCUGCAGAAUUCACUCUCAAUAAAGAAAGGAGGCUUAAAAAAAAAAAAAAAAGUCCUGUGUUUACAAGACCAGAAAUGCCAGCGCUAAGUCCUUCCAGAGAGAAAGGCUGAAAUGGAGGACCGACGCCUUCCUUAUAAGCUCAUCGGAGCACGAUAGAAAAGCAACUGUAAAGGCAGAGAGAGUAAGAGCGGAAGGAAGGAAGUCAGCGCCAACGUAGACCAAAAGGAACCACCCAGAAAUGUAGAAAAAGGAACCGGCAGAGGUCCCCAACAUCGGUAGAAGGACAGAAGACACGCACGGAGAAAGGUUUAUGUUUUGUUUUGUUGUUUUUUAAAUUUCAACUUGGAGCUCAAUGAAGAAAAGGCAAAAUAUAGGCCAGUGGACCAGAGGACCGGAAGAGGACCAGUCAUAGCUCACAGUGUGCCGGGUCCAGAUGGAAGGAACUCCAGACAAACCCCAGUGGCAGGAUAGGCACAGUCCUGAAGGCUGGGGGCUCGCCCCUUGAAACCCUCUUCGCAGGCUGCCUGAGUUCUUUUGCUCUCCUUAUCAUCCCCAUCUUUAUGACGAGGCUUGUUAACAUGACCAGCGAUCUGACCACGCACAUCUAUCUCCACCGCACACGCACUCAGCCGAGCAGCUGAGCUGGGGGGACUGAGAGGCACUAAUUAAUUGAUUCCUUGGACUGUAAAAUAUGGCUGUGUCUACACACACGGAACCUGUGGACUCAUAAACAAUAUGUCUGCAGAUGUGAGUGCACUGUCUCUUAAAGAAUUUUUCUAUAGUUAUGUGCCUAUUAGAAUCCAGGAUUUGAAAGACUCAAAUAAGAUUGCUUUUUCAUAAGCCUCAACACAGUACAAUGUCAGAAAAUUCUGCAAAAACUUGGGUUAUGGAAUAGGUUUUCUCUGCUGUUACUGUAGACACACAAAUUGGCUUCUGACUGCUAAGUGUUAGGAUCAAAAUCAAAGCCCAGCUGAGAAGGCCUGAAUGAAGCCUUUGCCCUUCCUGGGAGAAGGGGAAUGGGCCCAGGUUCAGGCCUUACUUCAUAAUGCUGCUUAGGCUCAAGAUUAUAAUAUUAAUAUAUAUAUAUAUUUACAAACCCUAACCUAAAGGAGCCUAACCCUAACCCUUACCUAGCUCUCCAGAUCACUGUCCACCCCUUAACUAUCUGCCUGCAUAGAGCAUUGCUAUAACAUGCUUGCAUUAGUCUUGGAAGAAUGUGUCUUGAGAUGCAUAAGUAAAUAGCUCUAACAAUUCUAUAUAAUCAUGAUUCCAUAGUGAAUCUUGAUGCAAAUAGGCGUUAAUAUGUUCUCAACAGAUACCAGCUUCAGACAAGAGACACAACAGGAAACUAAAAGUGACCAUUUAUACAACAAUGUUUGCUGACAUACAUGGCUAUUUCAAAGACAAAAAUACUAGGCAGAAAUAGAAAAACACAAAUAGAAACACAAAUAGAAAAAACCAAUUAACCAGUGGAGUUUGUCAUUACCAAUGUCAUCAUUGCUUCCUGAUUUUGGGUGACUCUUUUAAACCCGGCUGUGUUCCCUUCAUUCAGCACGGCAGAGAUGGUCUACCUUCCCAUACCUUCAGCUCUGGCUCCAAUAUUUAUUUUUAAAAAAAUCUUCAGAGAAAUGUAUACCACAAAUAAUAUGUGCAUCUAAAGAAUAUGCCAAUAUAAUUUACAUAUUUUUUCAUAUACUAGGCUGAUAUGCACUUUGUAUGUGUGUAAGAAUGUGAUAUAAUUCUGAGUUUUUACUGCUGUAGUAAUAUUUGGGUGCAUUUCAUGCAAUAGUUCCAUAUGCUACAGAAUGUAGAUACACGUGACUAAAUGAACUCAGAAAAGCACACCCUUUAUGUAGGAUAUAUGAAAGCCUUGCUUACAAAUGCAAAUAAAUUCUUGUUUGUGAAUCU